rnacentral:rRNA from 1 species
UACGGAGGGGGCAAGCGUUACUCGGAAUUAUUGGGCGUAAAGGGCGCGUAGGCGGUCUCGUGCGUCAGGGGUGAAAUCCCCGGGCUUAACCCGGGACGUGCCUCUGAUACGGCGAGACUUGAGUCCGGGAGAGGGGAGCAGAAUUCCCAGUGUAGCGGUGAAAUGCGUAGAUAUUGGGAGGAAUACCAGUGGCGAAGGCGGCUCCCUGGACCGGUACUGACGCUGAGGCGCGAAAGCGUGGGUAGCAAACAGGAUUAGAUACCCUGGUAGUCCACGCCGUAAACGAUGGGUGCUUGGUGUCGGGGGUAUCGACCCCUCCGGUGCCGAAGCUAACGCAUUAAGCACCCCGCCUGGGGAGUACGGUCGCAAGGCUGAA